AAACUCUGGAGACAGAGGCUUUGAAGGAAGCAGUAUUUAAAGCUGUGGGUAGUUACCAGCUGCCUUCACUAAAUGGAGUCCUUUUCUCACAUGUGGUGAAUGGAAGAAGUGACUGAGAUUUGCAUUUUUGGCUGGCGCUGGCUAAGAGGCAAGAAGCAGCACAGCAACUCAAACAGAAACAGCARGUCUGCGGCUCCGAGCACGGGGGAGGAAGGGGAAGCAGCGAGCACAUCGGCGAGGGGAAGGAUGUAACUAUGUGUCRCAGGGUGACUUUGUCUAGCAGGACCUACCUCCCAAGCCAAGCCCCACCAGUGGGCUGGAAAAGGCCUGGAAAAAACCCAGAGACUUCCAAAACAAACAAGAAAAGAGGCUCACUUGAUCAGUCUGAGUGCCAGCCCCACCCUGGGGUGUGGAAUAAACACAGGUGUACCUACCAUCAGUGGGAUGACAUGAAUUUGUGUUUCCCAACUAGGAAACCUACGCGGUCCCAGAGACAAGCCACUGUAGGAUAUGUUGCUUCUAACCAGCCAUAACACGUGUACACCACCUGUUACAUAACAGGACAAGGGAGUACCUUCUUCCUCUUUUUUCCUGAAGCCGUCAGAAGAGCAGCCAGGCAAGCCUAGGAGGUCAAGGUUGUUUUUCAAUCAAAUGCAGCAGGUUCUGCAUAAGAAACAACAUGUUCUAUCAGAUAAGAAGGGGUAUGAUGGCGCAUGCCCUGAAACCUCAUCACAGCACAGGCUGUCACGAGUUCCCGUCCCUCUCAUGGGAAGGGUGGCAGAUGGCAGCUUAUGUAAUUGGGAGACACACCUCUGAAGCUAUAAACGUAAUUGCAUCUCAGGGAAUUACUGAGAUCAGUGAAAGAAGGCCAUCAGAAGGUCUGUGAGAGUACCAAACUCUCAAAAUAGACUGAAAACCUAGUGAUGGAGAGGUCAUUACACACAGCUGCCAUCCAGAAACAAGGCUCUUCUGUCGUCUGUGGCUUGCUGCCAUAGUCAUACUCUGUUAGACCCACUAACCAUCAUCUACAGUGUGUGAUCCCACUUCUGGCCAGGGUUUGUCUGAACUUAGCAUAACUCAGCUCCUGCUCUGCACUGAGCCCAAAAUGGCCCAAGUUUUUUAGGUGGGGAGCGGGGAAAAGAAGGUUCUCCUCAUUUCCUUCCCGGCUGGUUUUGCUGUAGGAGGGGAGCACAGGAAGGCUUUGUGGACAGCCCUGCAAGGUGGGUAUGGGUUGGCCAAUGUUCCUUGGUAGGCUCCAAGGUCUUCAGCGCCACCUACUGCUAUGCGAACUCUUGGCUCCCUUGUCAUCCCUCCAGGAAAGGGCUUAGAGGAUACUUUCAGUCUCAUAGGAUGAGGAUAAUUAGCAGCAAGAGCUAUUGUCUUGCUGCUCCUAUGGGCUGAGUACAAAGAAAAGAAUACAUUAGAGCCUGGAAAUGUCAAUCUGGCUCCAUUUUCAUCACAAAUUCAUAUAAAGGGCCAGAAAAAGCAAAUACUUGAGGAUUGUUGUCUGGCAAUGAACAAAAGCCAGACAAA
rnacentral:lncRNA from 1 species